GAUGAACGCUGGCGGCGUGCCUAAUACAUGCAAGUCGAGCGAACAGACGAGGAGCUUGCUCCUCUGACGUUAGCGGCGGACGGGUGAGUAACACGUGGAUAACCUACCUAUAAGACUGGGAUAACUUCGGGAAACCGGAGCUAAUACCGGAUAACAUGUUGAACCGCAUGGUUCAACAGUGAAAGACGGUUUUGCUGUCACUUAUAGAUGGAUCCGCGCCGGAUUAGCUAGUUGGUAAGGUAACGGCCUACCAAGGCAACGAUGCGUAGCCGACCUGAGAGGAUGAUCAGCCACACUGGAACUGAGACACGGUCCAGACUCCGACGGGAGGCAGCAGUGGGGAAUAUUGGACAAUGGGCGAAAGCCUGACGCAGCCACGCCGCGUGGGUGAAGAAGGUCUUCGGAUCGUAAAGCCCUUUUAUUGGGAAAGAACAAAAGCGUAAGUAACCACGGACGUCCUGACGGUACCUAAAGAGAAAGCACCGGCUAACUUCGUG
rnacentral:rRNA from 1 species